rnacentral:rRNA from 1 species
AACUCGACUACAUGAAGCUGGAAUCGCUAGUAAUCGCGAAUCAGAAUGUCGCGGUGAAUACGUUCCCGGGUCUUGUACACACCGCCCGUCACACCAUGGGAGUCGGGAAUGCCCGAAGUCAGUGACCCAACCGGAAGGAGGGAGCUGCCGAAGGCAGGCUCGAUAACUGGGGUGAAGUCGUAACAAGGUAUC